rnacentral:misc_RNA from 1 species
AUUAUUCCCACUCCUACAUUUGAAGGUUGAAACUGACCUUAAUUGUACAAAUUGUCCCAUAAGAUAAUAAGUAGUAGCAUCCUCUGUCUUAAUAGUUGUGUCACUCAAGUACCACUCGUGUAAAACCGCAUGCAAAUGUGAACAUGCCAAACAUCUACAAAAACAACCAAGUACAAUCACAAAAUCCAGACACAAAAUGCAUUUCAG